AUCUGCUCUUUUGGGAUAAGGGGGUGGAACGACCUUAGCUCCGGGGUUAAGUUAUGAUCGGCUAAACAGUCUUACUUCCUGUAGCCAGUGAUGGGUCUGAGGCAUUGGGGAGAGGGAGAAUGUGUCCCAGGUCUGGCCAAUGAAAUGUCAGAGGAAAUGUGUGUCAUUAGAGAGGCUCCUCUUCCCUAAUAGAAAGGCAAAGCCCCAAGAGACAGCCCCUGUUCUUCCUUCCUGCCCAAAAACCGGCGUGAUGGCUGGGACUGUGUCUUCAUUUCAUGACUGUGAAGAAAAGGCUAAGGGGAUUGCAGAGUCAGUGGUCAGGCGGCCCUGUGGAGCCGUGAACCCACAGCGCUCACUGGACUUCUUGUAUAAACCCUGGUCCUGGGGUACGAGGACCUUGCAGGGGUGAGACUUAAAAAGGCACAAAAUUUGCUGUCUUCACCGUUUUUACGUGUGCGGCUCAUUGGUGCCGAGGACGUCUGUGUAGCCACGCAUCCCAUCACCGCUGUCCUUCCCCCCGGGCUUUUUUCAUCUUGCCAAACCGAAGCUCUCUUCCUGCUGAACAGUAAUCCCCGACUCGGACUCCCCACAGCCCGCCCCCGACACCCACCUUUCCCUCUGUGUCUCCUACCACCUUUCUGUCUCCGUGAACUUGACUGUUCCAGAUAACGUCGUUCGUAUCAGCGAAUCAUGCAGCGUUUGUCCUUUUACGUCUGGCUUAUUUCACUUCACAGAGUGUCCCCAGGACUCAUCCGCGUCAUGAUGCAUGUCAGAACUUCCUUCCUUUCUAGGGCUGAAUAAUGGUCCAUUGUAUACAUACACACACACACACACACACACAUAUCACAUUUUACUAAUCCAUUCAUUCCCUCAGUGGAUAAUUGAGUUUCCUCCACAUUUUAGGUGUUAUGAAUAAUGCUGCUGUGAACAUGGGUGUUCAAUUAAACACGUAUUUUAUAAGCA